AGUGUGCCUACGGUCAAAUCUUCUGACUACUGUGGUGGCUGCUUGCACAUCAGGAAUGUUUGAUAAUAGACUAUGGUUAUUUA
rnacentral:pre_miRNA from 1 species